rnacentral:hammerhead_ribozyme from 1 species
AUCCGGCUGACGAGUCCUAGAUGGGAUGAAACGCGCGUUCUGGAU